rnacentral:rRNA from 1 species
GUGCCAGCCGCCGCGGUAAUACGUAGGGGGCAAGCGUUGUCCGGAUUUAUUGGGCGUAAAGAGCGUGUAGGCGGCUAGGUAGGUCCGUUGUGAAAACUCGAGGCUCAACCUCGAGACGCCGGUGGAAACCAUCUAGCUAGAGUCCGGAAGAGGAGAGUGGAAUUCCUGGUGUAGCGGUGAAAUGCGCAGAUAUCAGGAAGAACACCCGUGGCGAAGGCGGCUCUCUGGUACGUGACUGACGCUGAGACGCGAAAGCGUGGGGAGCGAACAGGAUUAGAUACCCCGGUAGUCC